GACGAACGCUGGCGGCGUGCUUAACACAUGCAAGUCGAACGGAAAGGCCCUGCUUUUGUGGGGUGCUCGAGUGGCGAACGGGUGAGUAACACGUGAGUAACCUGCCCUUGACUUUGGGAUAACUUCAGGAAACUGGGGCUAAUACCGGAUAGGAGCUCCUGCUGCAUGGUGGGGGUUGGAAAGUUUCGGCGGUUGGGGAUGGACUCGCGGCUUAUCAGCUUGUUGGUGGGGUAGUGGCUUACCAAGGCUUUGACGGGUAGCCGGCCUGAGAGGGUGACCGGCCACAUUGGGACUGAGAUACGGCCCAGACUCCUACGGGAAGCAGCAGUGGGGAAUAUUGCACAAUGGGCGGAAGCCUGAUGCAGAAACGCCGCGUGCGGGAUGACGGCCUUCGGGUUGUAAACCGCUUUCGCCUGUGACGAAGCGUGAGUGACGGUAAUGGGUAAAGAAGCACCGGCUAACUACGUG
rnacentral:rRNA from 1 species